GCUUACGGCCAUACCACCCUGAACGCGCCCGAUCUCGGAAGCUAAGCAGGGUCGGGCCUGGUUAGUACUUGGAUGGGAGACCGCCUGGGAAUACCAGGUGCUGUAAGCC
rnacentral:rRNA from 15 species